GAUUGAACGCUGGCGGCAUGCCUUACACAUGCAAGUCGAACGGCAGCGCGGGCUUCGGCCUGGCGGCGAGUGGCGAACGGGUGAGUAAUACAUCGGAACGUGCCCUGUUGUGGGGGAUAACUAGUCGAAAGAUUAGCUAAUACCGCAUACGACCUGAGGGUGAAAGCGGGGGACCGCAAGGCCUCGCGCAGCAGGAGCGGCCGAUGUCUGAUUAGCUAGUUGGUGGGGUAAUGGCCUACCAAGGCGACGAUCAGUAGCUGGUCUGAGAGGACGAUCAGCCACACUGGGACUGAGACACGGCCCAGACUCCUACGGGAGGCAGCAGUGGGGAAUUUUGGACAAUGGGGGCAACCCUGAUCCAGCAAUGCCGCGUGUGUGAAGAAGGCCUUCGGGUUGUAAAGCACUUUUGUCCGGAAAGAAAACGCGCUGGUUAAUACCCGGCGUGGAUGACGGUACCGGAAGAAUAAGCACCGGCUAACUAC
rnacentral:rRNA from 1 species